rnacentral:rRNA from 1 species
UUUUUAAAUUGCUGUGGUAUUUUGACUAUACAAAGGUAUUGAAAUAAGAUUUUAAUUGAAUGCUAAGAGAAUGGAAUUUCAGAAAAAAACUUUUUUCAAGUUAAAAAUUGAAAUUUUUUUAAUUUGUGCAGAAACAAUUAUUAAUAUUAAGGACAAGAAGACCCUAUGAAUUUAUAAAUUUUAUUUAAUAUGUAACUACUAUUAAAAAAAUUUUAGCUGGGGCGGCGGAAAAAUAUUUAAAACUUUUUUAAAAUAAAAUGACCCAUUAUUAAUGAUUAUAUGUUAAAUACUCUAGGGAAAACAGCGUAAA